rnacentral:rRNA from 1 species
GAUGAAUGCUGGCGGCGUGCCUAACACAUGCAAGUCGAACGGUAACAUGUUUCUCACCUUGGUCCUAACUUUCAAAAGUUGGUGCUGAAGUGAGAAAUGAUGACGAGUGGCGGACGGCUGAGUAACGCGUGGGAACAUGCCCCAAAGUGAGGGAUAAGCUCCAGAAAUGGAGUCUAAUACCGCAUAUGAUCUUCGGAUUAAAGGAUUUAUCCGCUUUGGGAGUGGCCUGCGUACGAUUAGAUAGUUGGUGAGGUAAUGGCUUACCAAGUCUACGAUCGUUUAGCUGGUCUGAGAGGAUGACCAGCCAGACUGGAACUGAGACACGGUCCAGACUCCUACGGGAGGCAGCAGUGAGGAAUCUUCCACAAUGGGCGAAAGCCUGAUGGAGCAACGCCGCGUGCAGGAUGAAGGCCCUCGGGUCGUAAACUGCUUUUAUAAGUGAAGAAUAUGACGGU